rnacentral:rRNA from 1 species
AUUGAACGCUGGCGGCAUGCUUUACACAUGCAAGUCGAACGGCAGCGCGGGCUUCGGCCUGGCGGCGAGUGGCGAACGGGUGAGUAAUACAUCGGAACGUGCCCAGUAGUGGGGGAUAGCUCGGCGAAAUCCGGAUUAAUACCGCAUACGACCUGAGGGUGAAAGCGGGGGAUCUUCGGACCUCGCGCUAUUGGAGCGUCCGAUGGCAGAUUAGCUAGUUGGUGGGGUAAAGGCCUACCAAGGCGACGAUCUGUAGCUGGUCUGAGAGGACGACCAGCCACACUGGGACUGAGACACGGCCCAGACUCCUACGGGAGGCAGCAGUGGGGAAUUUUGGACAAUGGGCGAAAGCCUGAUCCAGCAAUGCCGCGUGUGUGAUGAAGGCCUUCGGGUUGUAAAGCACUUUUGGCGGGAACGAAAAGGACUGUGCCAAUACCACGGUUCGAUGACGGUACCCGCAGAAUAAGCACCGGCUAACUACGUG